rnacentral:rRNA from 1 species
UUGAAGUUCAGGUAACACUGAAUGGAGGACCGAACCGACUUACGUUGAAAAGUGAGCGGAUGAACUGAGGGUAGCGGAGAAAUUCCAAUCGAACCUGGAGAUAGCUGGUUCUCUCCGAAAUAGCUUUAGGGCUAGCCUCAAGUGAUGAUUAUUGGAGGUAGAGCACUGUUUGGACGAGGGGCCCCUCUCGGGUUACCGAAUUCAGACAAACUCCGAAUGCCAAUUAAUUUAACUUGGGAGUCAGAACAUGGGUGAUAAGGUCCGUGUUCGAAAGGGAAACAGCCCAGACCACCAGCUAAGGUCCCAAAAUAUAUGUUAAGUGGAAAAGGAUGUGGCGUUGCCCAGACAACUAGGAUGUUGGCUUAGAAGCAGCCAUCAUUUAAAGAGUGCGUAAUAGCUCACUAGUCGAGUGACACUGCGCCGAAAAUGUACCGGGGCUAAACAUAUUACCGAAGCUGUGGAUUGUCCUUUGGACAAUGGUAGGAGAGCGUUCUAAGGGCGUUGAAGCAUGAUCGUAAGGACAUGUGGAGCGCUUAGAAGUGAGAAUGCCGGUGUGAGUAGCGAAAGACGGGUGAGAAUCCCGUCCACCGAUUGACUAAGGUUUCCAGAGGAAGGCUCGUCCGCUCUGGGUUAGUCGGGUCCUAAGCUGAGGCCGACAGGCGUAGGCGAUGGAUAACAGGUUGAUAUUCCUGUACCACCUAUAAUCGUUUUAAUCGAUGGGGGGACGCAGUAGGAUAGGCGAAGCGUG